AUCUGCUAGGACAGCUUAGUUGGUAGAGCACGAGACUUAAUCUCAGGGUUGUGGGUUUGAGCCCCACAUUGGAUU